UCAGAUGUGGUGUAAAUAUGGCAACACGGCUUCGCAUCGUAGCAGCGUUCUUGAGUGUGAUGAAGCAGUUCGGGGUUCGAGUCCCCGCGUCUGAA